rnacentral:rRNA from 1 species
CUUGCUGCUUUGCUGACGAGUGGCGGACGGGUGAGUAAUGUCUGGGAAACUGCCUGAUGGAGGGGGAUAACUACUGGAAACGGUGGCUAAUACCGCAUAACGUCGCAAGACCAAAGAGGGGGACCUUCGGGCCUCUUGCCAUCAGAUGUGCCCAGAUGGGAUUAGCUUGUUGGUGAGGUAACGGCUCACCAAGGCGACGAUCCCUAGCUGGUCUGAGAGGAUGACCAGCCACACUGGAACUGAGACACGGUCCAGACUCCUACGGGAGGCAGCAGUGGGGAAUAUUGCACAAUGGGCGCAAGCCUGAUGCAGCCAUGCCGCGUGUAUGAAGAAGGCCUUCGGGUUGUAAAGUACUUUCAGCGGGGAGGAAGGUGUUGUGGUUAAUAACCGCAGCAAUUGACGUUACCCGCAGAAGAAGCACCGGCUAACUCCGUGCCAGCAGCCGCGGUAAUACGGAGGGUGCAAGCGUUAAUCGGAAUUACUGGGCGUAAAGCGCACGCAGGCGGUCUGUCAAGUCGGAUGUGAAAUCCCCGGGCUCAACCUGGGAACUGCAUUCGAAACUGGCAGGC